GACGAACCGUGCGAACGUUGUUCGGAAUCACUGGGCUUAAAGGCGCGUAGGCGGGUUUGCAAGUCUGCGGUGAAAGCCUCCAGCUUAACUGGAGAAGUGCCGUGGAUACUGCGGAUCUCGAGGAGGGUAGGGGCAUCUGGAACGGUCGGUGGAGCGGUGAAAUGCGUUGAUAUCGACCGGAACUCCGGUGGCGAAGGCGAGGUGCUGGACCCUUUCUGACGCUGAGGCGCGAAAGCCAGGGGAGCGAACGGG
rnacentral:rRNA from 1 species